ensembl:misc_RNA Metazoa_SRP Metazoan signal recognition particle RNA
AAAAGGCCAUGCAUAUUAGGCCUGGAAUGCCUGGGGCUUUAAAGCCUGCCUCAUAAACAUUAAAGCUCAGGGGCAUACCGCGGCCAAGCGUCUCAAUAUGGUGACCUCCCGGGAGCGGGGAGCCACCAGGUUGCCUAAGGAGGGGUGAACCGGCCCAGGUCGGAAACGGAGCAGGUCAAAACUCCCGUGCUGAUCAGUAGUGGGAUCGCGCCUGUGAAGUAAUUUACAUUUUGGUGUCUUC